UCGUAUACACAGAAAAAAAUCUUGAAUUGCUCCCUUUCAAUCGCGUAGUAUUCUUUAAACUAUCAAUAGAUAAACUAUUUUUCUAAACAAACUCUACUAGACUUUUAAAGUAAAUGUUUUUAACGUAAUUGUUCUCACCAACUUUUGGAGUGUUCUUCAUAUGGAUCUCCAAAAAUGACCGAAUCAAUCUUCUCUUCUCUCUUGAUUGUUACUCAAUAUGUCAAGCUCCUCUGAUCGAGAAGAUGAUAUCUGAAAAAUUACUUUGUCACUUAAGAUCAGUUAGUAAAUAAUCAACAUUUUAAUAGAGUUAAAAGAUAAAUUUACAUGCAAAGUACUUCUUUAUUUAUAAUAAUAGAGUUUGUGAAUUAGUGAAAUAGAUGAUUAGCUAGUUGUGAGUUAGUGAGAUAUGCACUUAAUAAGUUAAGUGGUUAUUAUCCCCUAAUAACUCAAAUAAUCGAGUUAUAGGUUCCACCAGUACACUUACGAGUUUUAAUCAUGUUAUUAUAUAUAUAAUUUUUUAUUAAAUCAAAUCAAAUUUAUUUAAUUUAUUUUCCUAAGACAUUCUAUCGAUAUCAUUUCUAAUACAUUUGUCCUAACAUUCUGUCUUUUCAAUUAAAAUUUAUUAAAAAUAGAAAAUUCCUUAAAUAAAAAAUAAAUCCACAUAAAAUUAAUCGAUAUUAAAAAAAUGUAUUUCACGAAUUGUUACUAGAAGAGUCUCAUUAUUGGUGUAAAAACUUAUCUCACCUCACGUCUCAUUAUUUUAUAGCCCCAUUCAAAAUUAUAAAAUUGAUUAAAAAACAAUAAAAUCAAGUAGUGAUGAUUCUCACCGCGAACAAAGUCAAGUCGUGCUUGUGCAACGUGUCUCUCUCGAUGUAAAACCAAGAAAAUUUCUCCUCCAUUCAACUAUUCAAGUAUUAAACCCUCCAUUUCCUCAUUUUCACAUUCGCAUCCAAACACGCCCCAAC
rnacentral:lncRNA from 1 species